rnacentral:rRNA from 1 species
UACACUCCUACGGGAGGCAGCAGUGGGGAAUUUUGGACAAUGGGCGAAAGCCUGAUCCAGCAAUGCCGCGUGCAGGAUGAAGGCCUUCGGGUUGUAAACUGCUUUUGUACGGAACGAAAAAGCUCCUUCUAAUACAGGGGGCCCAUGACGGUACCGUAAGAAUAAGCACCGGCUAACUACGUGCCAGCAGCCGCGGUAAUACGUAGGGUGCGAGCGUUAAUCGGAAUUACUGGGCGUAAAGCGUGCGCAGGCGGUUAUGUAAGACAGAUGUGAAAUCCCCGGGCUCAACCUGGGAACUGCAUUUGUGACUGCAUGGCUAGAGUACGGUAGAGGGGGAUGGAAUUCCGCGUGUAGCAGUGAAAUGCGUAGAUAUGCGGAGGAACACCGAUGGCGAAGGCAAUCCCCUGGACCUGUACUGACGCUCAUGCACGAAAGCGUGGGGAGCAAACAGGAUUAGAAACCCGAGUAGUCCCAUGAU